rnacentral:lncRNA from 1 species
CUUACAUUUCCUCUUAAUCAAUGAUGCAAGAAGCCAAGGAAUGAAGGCUCAGACUGCCCGGGUUGCAGCAGCGCUGUACUGUCUUCAUCGUGCAAUCUUCCAGAGCUCUCUGCAUGCCACUUGUCUGCUCUGAGCGCUUCUGGGUCUAUGCUGAGACUUCCUGCACACCUGAAAGUUCAAAUCAAGAGCUGAGUGUGACUGUGCUUGUCUCAGCCCUGAUAAAAAGAUGGGGAAGGGAGGACCAGCAGGAAGACGGAGAAAAACAAACACACAAACAAGCCAGCCACCAUGGGUUUAGUAAUUUCCAGUGAUGGCGAAUCCACAGCAAUGCCAGGAACAAAUCUUAUAGGCUGAGUUAUCCAGAAACUGUCAAGGCAGAUUUAUGCUUAAACUGGAUUAUACGGAAAUACAUUGCAAACCACUGCAAUAAAUCAUUACUAAUCAAAAUGAAUCUGAAUGAU